UACGAGGGGGCUAGCGUUGUUCGGAAUUACUGGGCGUAAAGCGAGUGUAGGUGGUUGUCCAAGUUGGAUGUGAAAGCCUUGAGCUCAACUCAAGAAAUGCAUUCAGGACUGGGCGGCUAGAGGACCGGAGAGGAUAGUGGAAUUCCCAGUGUAGUGGUGAAAUACGUAGAGAUUGGGAAGAACACCAGUGGCGAAGGCGGCUAUCUGGACGGUUUCUGACACUAAGACUCGAAAGCGUGGGGAGCAAACAGG
rnacentral:rRNA from 1 species